UAAAGUGGCGCACGGGUGAGUAACACGUGACUAACCUACCCUCGAGUGGGGAAUAACCUAGAGAAAUCUGGGCUAAUACCGCAUAACACUUACGAGUCAAAGCAGCAAUGCGCUUGGGAGGGGGUCGCGGCAGAUUAGCUAGUUGGUGGGGUAAUGGCCCACCAAGGCAGUGAUCUGUAUCCGGCCUGAGAGGGCGCACGGACACACUGGAACUGAAACACGGUCCAG
rnacentral:rRNA from 1 species